UGGGGAAUUGUUCGCAAUGGGCGCAAGCCUGACCCAGCGACGCCGCGUGGGUGAUGAAGGCCUUCGGGUCGUAAAGCCCUGUCGGGUGGAAAGAACGGUAUGGGUGCAAAUAGCGCUCAUACGUGACGGUACCACCGAAGGAAGCACCGGCCAAUUCCGUGCCAGCAGCCGCGGUAAGACGGAAGGUGCAAGCGUUGCUCGGAAUCACUGGGCGUAAAGCGCACGUAGGCGGAUAGUUAAGUCAGGGGUGAAAUCCUGGGGCUCAACCCCAGAACUGCCUUUGAUACUGGCUGUCUCGAGGUCGAGAGAGGUUGGUGGAAUUCCUAGUGUAGAGGUGAAAUUCGUAGAUAUUAGGAAGAACACCAGUGGCGAAGGCGGCCAACUGGCUCGAUACUGACGCUGAGGUGCGAAAGCGUGGGGAGCAAACAGGAUUAGAUACCCCCGUAGUCCCUGAGCGGGCUGGCAAGGCGCAU
rnacentral:rRNA from 1 species